CUCCCCCGCAGAACCUGUUCCUGACAAGCGGGUGUCCCGGCUUCGGUGAGCAGGGACUUCCGGCUGUGAAGGUGAGCAGCCUCCGGCCAUCUUCUCCCUGAUGGCCGCUCAGGGUGUGAAGACGCACAGGCGUCUGCAUGCACCGGGCUGCUGCGAGGAGGCCAGGUCCCAGUGUUCUCUCCGGGCCUGCUGUUGGCAUGUCAGUAUUGUUGCCAUCUGGCUGCCAGAUGACUGUUUGGCCACCAUGAGGACUCGAGAUUGCUGGUGUGAAUUAAAACAACAUGAGACAGGAGGAUAAAAGAAAAAGAACUCCUGAUGGCAGGAAAAUACCCCGUGGUGACUGUGAUCCUGAUGUGUCAGCUGGACUAGAUUAUGGCAGGCCUAGUGGGGUAGUAAAGGACAGUUCUGGACCUGUCUCAGGCGUUUCCAGAGGUGACUGGACACAGGCCAGCCAACUGCGGGAGGGGACGCACCUUGGUCAUGGGACGCACCGAACAAUAAGCUUGUGGCUUGGGACAAUCAAAGGGAAAGAAAGAAGUUGGCACACGUGCUGAUGACUCCAUUCCACUUGAGCGCAUGGCGUUUGCUGCCAUGGGCUUCAGACUCCAUGCAGACUCCGGAGCAACUCUCCAGGAGCUCCCAGGCCUUCAGUCUUGGACUGGCACUGUACACCUGAUCCCUGUUCUGUGGCUUCUUGGACUGAAGAUCUACUGGAUCCUCCAGCUGUCCAGCACACAGAUGGCCUCUGUGGACACUGGAGACGCGCACCUCUGAUCCCAUGAGCCUACCUAAUACAUUCUCUUGCAAAAUCAUAUAUUCCACACACAAAUAUAUAUAUAUAUAUACACACACACACAUACAUACGUACAUAUACACAUAUAUAGACAUACAUAUACACACAUAUAUAUAUAUACCACAUGGAAAUAUGAAAUAUGUUAAUUGAAGAUAAUUAGUCUUGUUUAUUCUUUUUUUUUUUGGUACUGGAGAUCGAACUCGGGACCUUGCGCUUGCGAGGCAGGUGCCAGAACCACUGAGCUAAAUCCCUGGCCCGUGACUUGUUUAUUCUUGCAGUCUCCCUGACAACGUGUGCUGCUUACAGUACCUAAAUUAUAUCUUUAAUUUAAUAAGUAUGCCCACUAAUUAAUUUCAUAGAUAAACUGCUAAGUGUCCAUGCUGUGUAAGUUUUUUUCACUGUGUUAAGAAUUUCUGUAUGCAUUUUCAGUCCUCUUAUUUACCAAAGUAUGGCAUGUCAAACAUAUAUGUUGCAUAGCAGCACUCAUAUUUUUUAUCAAAACUCCACUCACUAUGACUAUUCAAAUAUCUCAUUCAAGGAAAAUAUGACUCUUCUAGUAUACAUUUGAGAUACAGUUUCAAGGAAAAUGAAGGGAAUUUAGUUUGUGCCAUAUGACAUUCAUUGUUUGGUAUAUUGGAUAGGAACAGAAUUGAUAGAAUAUAUAUUGUCAAUUUUAUAAUUAUUAUGCUAUAGUUAUCAAUUGUAUAAAUCAUGGCAAGGAAUAAUUAUUGCAUAUUACUACUCUCAUAACAACUCUAUAUAACUUAUCAUUGAAAAGUUAUACUCAGUAACUAUUACUUGCCAUGAUUUAACAUGACUAUUAUAGUAAUGCAUUAAUAGUGUCAUAGUAUUGUUAUAUUGAAUAAUUGAGUACUGUUUUCAAUAAAAAGUUAUACAUUCAGAGCAAUAAAAUAAUUUUUGGAAGAUAUAAUACCCUUUGAUUAACU
ensembl:lncRNA